AGCGAACGCUGGCGGCAGGCUUAACACAUGCAAGUCGAGCGGGCCUUUCGGGGUCAGCGGCGGACGGGUGAGUAACGCGUGGGAACGUGCCCUCUGGUUCGGAAUAACUCAGGGAAACUUGAGCUAAUACCGGAUACGCCCUUUUGGGGAAAGGCUUGCUGCCGGAGGAUCGGCCCGCGUAUGAUUAGCUAGUUGGUGAGGUAACGGCUCACCAAGGCGACGAUCAGUAGCUGGUCUGAGAGGAUGAUCAGCCACACUGGGACUGAGACACGGCCCAGACUCCUACGGGAGGCAGCAGUGGGGAAUAUUGGACAAUGGGCGCAAGCCUGAUCCAGCCAUGCCGCGUGAGUGAUGAAGGCCUUAGGGUUGUAAAGCUCUUUUAUCCGGGACGAUAAUGACGGUACCGGAGGAAUAAGCCCCGGCUAACUUCGUG
rnacentral:rRNA from 1 species